rnacentral:rRNA from 1 species
CCUACGGGAGGCAGCAGUGAGGAAUAUUGGUCAAUGGACGAGAGUCUGAACCAGCCAAGUAGCGUGAAGGAUGACUGCCCUAUGGGUUGUAAACUUCUUUUAUAUGGGAAUAAAAUGUUCCACGUGUGGGAUUUUGUAUGUACCAUAUGAACAAGGAUCGGCUAACUCCGUGCCAGCAGCCGCGGUAAUACGGAGGAUCCGAGCGUUAUCCGGAUUUAUUGGGUUUAAAGGGAGCGUAGGUGGAUUGUUAAGUCAGUUGUGAAAGUUUGCGGCUCAACCGUAAAAUUGCUGUUGAAACUGGCAGUCUUGAGUACAGUAGAGGUGGGCGGAAUUCGUGGUGUAGCGGUGAAAUGCUUAGAUAUCACGAAGAACUCCGAUUGCGAAGGCAGUUCACUGGACUGCAACUGACACUGAGGCUCGAAAGUGUGGGUAUCAAACAGGAUUAGAUACCCGAGUAGUC